CGCGUAGGUGGUAGUGUAAGUCUGGGGUGGAAUCCCAGGGCUUAACCCUGGAACUGCCUUGGAAACUGUAUUACUUGAGUCAGUGAGGGGAGGGUAGAAUUCCUGGUGUAGCGGUGAAAUGCGUAGAUAUCAGGAGGAAGGCCUGUGGCGAAGGCGGCCCUCUGGCGCUGGACUGACACUGAGGCGCGAAAGCGUGGGGAGCAAACAGGAUUAGAUACCCUGGUAGUCCACGCCCUAAACGGUGGGCACUAGGUGUAGGGCUCGUAAGGGUUCUGUGCCGAAGGGAAACCAUUAAGUGCCCCGCCUGGGGAGUACGGCCGCAAGGUUGAAA
rnacentral:rRNA from 1 species